rnacentral:lncRNA from 1 species
UAAUUAAAAUAUGUGAUAAAGAACAAAAUAUAAUUAAAAUGGCUAAAACAGCACAUAAGAAAUAUACAAAUGCUGUAUAAUGUAGAUAUUUAAUAUAAUGAUCCUUGUUUUAAGUAAAUUUGAUGUUUUAUAUUUCUGAAUAUGUAAUAUAUAAAGCAUUUUUACAUUUCAACAUAUAGGUUUAUCAAUUUACAGUAAAAUAAAUUAAUACACACAUUUUCAUUUUUGAAAUAUGUAUUAUCUCCUGAUGUAUAUACGAUGCGUAUAAAAAAUCGCAUAAAUUUCAAAUAUUUCAAAUUAACAAUAGUUGUUUAAAAAUUUUCAUGCUAAUUGAUAUUCAUCUAUUAACAUUUACCACCUUCAAAUGAUUUUAUCUUUAUAUUAAGCAAUAUAAUUUAUAACUGUAUUUUUAUAAAACAUCUGUUAUGAAGGAUGCUGGAAAAGAAUGAAAAUAGAGGCCAAGAAGGAAGCAGAGAGUAGACGGCGUUCUGUUAAUUUGACUGGAGGUGGAACUCCACCAGCAUCUCUCAUUAAUUCAACAGAAACUGUCCUGGAUCUCCUUGGCAACUCAAUACAGCCAUUGGAAAAUGCAGAUGAUCCACCAUCACCAUUAAAGAAUAUAGCUGAAGUUAAUGCUGAUUUGAAUACAUCUGUUUGUAGCAAUCUAGAAACACCGAAUAUCAACAAGCUUAUGUAUUCAAUUCAGAAAUGUCUUCAGAUGCACUUUUGAUUGAUGGUGAUAAUGAUCGGGCUAGAUUAAAUGAACAGUUGCCUAAUCAACAACAAAAAAGAAGCAAAAAAAAAAAAAA